CUGGGUUGUCCCAGUGCACCAGCCCCAAGCAUCCAGUAUUGUGCAUCAAGAUGCAUUUUUGAAAAGCAUUUUUUUUUUAAACAAGUAUUCAAGAUGCAUCUUUUCUAGGCUUUUUUCUUUUCAAGUAACGGAGAAGUAACUUUAUAACUGGAAAAAGGUCAUUGAAGAGCAAGUCUAGGCUUUCUUCCACCUCCAUUUACGUUAUUAAGGCCCAGAAAACAGAAGACAACCUAUUCACAUUUCAAAGCAUAGUAGAUGAUGUAUUUGUUAUCAUUGAAAAUGCACAUUGAUAAGAGCCAUGAAGACUGGGAGCUUGAUCAGCAGUGUUUCCGUGCUUGCGAGGUCAACCUGAACCCCUGGGAGCCUGCCUUCUGUGACCGUCACACCAGCAGGGCGGAGUGCUGCUACAGACAGCUGCACUGAGUCCCGACCUGCGAUCUCAGUGACGCUGCCCAGGAACCCACACAGUUCCUCUUGGGUGUUGGGCACCUGUUCCCACCUAAGCUGUUCUCCACUGUCCCUUAAUCUAUCUUCUCUCUGAAGGAGGGAUCCCUCCUCAUGCUUCACAGAGAAUUUGAAGCCAUCCAAGAGGACGUUGGUCAUUCUCUUCUGCACUCCAAAUUCAGUGCUUCACACAUGCUAUGUGACACCACAGUUAUCCACGCCCCCGCUUUCUGGAGUCUCCCAGAAACGUCCCACAUGCUGUAGCAUCUCCUUGCUUGAGAGGGUGGGGAAACAGAUGCAAACGUUCUCUAUCUUCUGGCCACCACUCCAGCUCUCUAGUCCCUGUAACAGCCAUGCUUCUUUGAAUGUUCACUUCACUUGAUCACUCCCCUCCCCAGUCUCGCCUCACUCUUCAACCCAUUCUGAUUUGCCUCCCACCCACCAUUCCACUGAAACUGACCUUGCUAAGGUCUUACUACCAGUUAGGCUUCUUCUCAGACUUCCUUUACAUCUAACAGCAUUCCUGCCGCAGCUCCCAGACUCUACAUCUUCUCUGAGAGUCAGUGAAGAAAAAUGAUCCCCAGGAUUCCCAACAAAAUUCUCACAGCCUCUGAUCCUGGAUCAGUCACGGAACACACAGGCUCUGCUGAUAUCCUGGCCAGAGUUUCAUAUGUACAUAUGAUAUGUAACUUUUUAACAGUUACCUAGUAUUCCGUUUCAUGAAUGUGUCAUAAUGUAUUCAACUUCUCCUUUGAUGAUGGACAUUUAGGUUUUUCUAGCAAUUUACUAACAUAAAUAAUGCCAGGAUGCACUUUGCUGGACCUUGACCACCCACAUACACGCUCAUACUCACACUGUUCUUUCUUGACCAAACUCAUCAAGCUCAUAACUGCUGAAUUGUGAUUUUUGUGUUUUUAAGGAACUUUCCAUCACACCACCACUGUGUCACAUUGUAUGUUCCUGUGACCACUUUGAGGAAGGGAAGGGGGGAGGGGACACCGGGGUCUGCAAUAUCUAGACUUUGUCUUCAUUCUCUUCCGUUCACCAAAUAUAGUCCAGCUGUAAAAAGACAUGAGCUCUAUGAAGUUUACCUAAAAUUAGAAGAAAGAAAAGGUUCGAUUUUCUCUAGAAGCCCCACUUGCCUUCUCAUCUCCCUGGGCCACCUGGGAGUGCAGGAGGGGUACCUUUCUCCUAAUCUGUUCUUCCUCAUAGCCUCUGCUUCCAGCCUGUCAAUUCACAAGAACUGUUAAAAACCUUGACAUUUCCAAUUUCUCUUCUUUUUCCAUUGUCUAAGAGCUGCUAUGCCCCAAGCCACAGAAAGUUCCUAUCACAACCCUCCAGCCUCAAAGAGGUAACAUUGCCCCCAGACCAAUGCCUGACUUCUUAGUCCUUGUCUUGGUCUUCUGCUGAAUGGUCCUGGCCUUGCCCAUCUCAUACUGCCUCUGUCCUGCCAAUCCAUCACUCUGAAGCUAUAAGUCAGCACCUCUGGCUAACUAAAUGCAGCAUCUCUCAGAAGAAUGUCUGAGAGAUGUGUUCUUUCUGCUUCUGAUGCCUGAUAUUUUAAAAAUAAUGUCUUUACAAAUGUCAUUUGUAAAAUGGCAUUUGUAAAAAUAAUGUCAUUUAUAAAAAUAAUGUCUUUACAAACCUCUCUGGGCUAACUUCUGUUUAGAAGUCCUAGAACUUGGCUCUAACACCCUCCAGAUCUCCAGGUACUACCUGGUUACACUUUCUGUCCUUCUUUCAUUGCUGAUAAAUAAGCUUUCUCUUCUUUAACUUGCAGAACAUUUUUUCCCCAUUUUUUUCUCCUGAGCUUCCACAUUCUCAGUUCCAUGACAACACGCCACCAACCCCUUUUCCAGUCCUUAGAACAGAAGUCCUCUUCCUCCUCCUCCCCGCCAUGCCCAGCAGGGAGUAAAAACACAGACUGAAACUGUCCCCUCUCCUACCCUGCUCUUCUCCAUCAGCAUUCUCAACUCCACAGGGGCACCCAGGAAAACUCCCAGCCCGCUUGGAAUAUAGCCUUCCUUCAGGUCACAGCAUUUGCUGAUAUUUUAUAAAUAAAACUUUCUCUUACUGGUACUUGGUAAACUGAAUGAACAAGUUGUUGUUUAGUUGCUAAGACCCUGGUUUGAUCCCUGGGUUGGGAAGAUCCCCUGGAGGAGGAAAUGGCAACCCACUCCAGUCUUCUUCCCUGGAGAAUUCCAUGGACAGGGGAGCCUGGCAGGCUACCAUCAUUGGAGUUGCAAAGAGUCAGACACAGCUGAGCGACUAACCCUUUCUCUUUUCACGUUGUUUUAAAGGGUAUUACGAAUGCUGCACUAUUGGCAUUAGUAGAUACAUUUACUUUAAAGACUCAAUUUUAUCACAAGCUUCAAAACAGAGUCAGGAAUGGUGUACAAAUUAUGGUCCCUAUCUCGUGAUUUUUUUUGGUUUUCCAAAGCCUAAUUUUUUUUUUUUCUAGAUCUGGGUACAUGAGUGAUUCUUUAUCCUGUGAAGGUAGCAUUUUAUCUCUGCGUGGGUCCCUAGUUCCUAUUUAUUCAUGAGAUUUAGAAGAAAGGAGCUCAAGAAGAAUGUUAUUCAACUUGAAACAAAAUUUUUACUGAGAAAAUAAGGCUUGAAGCAGAAGAAAUCCCAGCUGGCCUAUUUCCAUUAUCUAAUUAAGAAGGUAAAUCAAGGGAGUUACCAUGCUUCCUGAGCUACUAGGGAAGCCCUCCAGUGCAGGGAGCAUGGGUCUGAUGUCUGGUUGGGGAACUAAGAUACCACAUACUGCAUAAUAUGGCCAAAAAAAGGGGGGAGGAGUGGAUCAGUAUACGAUUGUUUGCUGAUUUGAUUAAUUUGGAAAGUGAAAGUGAAGUUGCUCAGUUGUGUCCGAUUCUUUGCAACCCCAUGGACUGUAGCCUACCAGGCUCCUCCAUCCAUGGAGUUUUCCAGGCUAGAGUACUGGAGUGGGUUGCCAUUUCCUUCUCCAGGGUAUCUUCCUGACCCAGGGAUCGAACCCAGGUCUCUCACAUUGCAGGCAGACGCUUUACCUUCUGAGCUACCAGGGAAGCCCCAGAUUAAUUUGGGGAGUGAUCAGUUACAUUUAUGGUAUUCAAUGUCUCAGUCUAUAAUAAUGCAUGUAUGUAUAUGGCUCUUUAAAAGACAGAAUCUCUAGUCUCCCCAGUUCUACUGGAACCAACACUUCUAUGCUGUCCCAGGAUAGUUUCUCCUUUGGGGGUCCCAGAGUGUGGCAUGUCUACCGCUAGAGGUGCCCGAGAUGACUUUGGGAGGUAUGUGAACACAUUUUAAAAUUUCAAAUGGUUUCCAGUAUUUAUUUUACAAUAGAUUACUUUUCUUUAGCUACAGUGGAUCAUUUUUCUACUGAUAUUAAUAGAAAAAAAACAUAGUUUGUGAGUCUACAGGUACUAUUGCUUAGGAUGAGAUUAAGGUGUCACUAAUAGAUACAAAGAUAAAUAUUAAGUAAAAGCUACAAUAAAAAGUACCCAAAUAUGACAGAAACCAGGAAGGCAGUACAAGGUGACCCAGGUUGAGAAGACCCUGCUGUCUUGUGCUGCCUGAAACAUUAUGAGUUCAGAAAUGUGAUACCUGACCCUCAUCCAUCCUUCUUCCUGCAAUAUUCCAAACAGCCAAGGUAAGUUAAUUUAGUGGCUGGCUCUCUGUGUUCCCCGUUUCCUGCAUAGAUGGUGCAGCAAAGCAGAAUCCACAGACUGAACUAAUUGUGCUGCAUUUAGGUAUCAGAGGCGACACCAGGGAUUUAUAUGUUUGGUGGCCAUUGAUUUCACUUGGGUUUAUUUUACUUUAGAGAAAGACGAAGAAGGAGGUAGUAAUCUCUUCCCCAGGAGCCCCAAACAGCUGAUUCGGGGUCACAGGACUUGCUGGCCUGGAAGCAUUUCAAUACCACGCUCAGGCCCUCACAGAGCAAAUCCCAUGACUCCACGGGACUGCCCACACUCACUGUUGUGCCAGAAUGCCCCUGUGAAUGAUAUGCUGCAACAAGUAGGUGCUGCAAAACUCUUGAUAUUUUAUAAGAAUUUUAUGGGAAGAAGGUACUCGAUUUUGGUGGAUUUAGUUUAGUUUAACAAUUGUCAUUUAUUUAUUGAAGUAAAACCUUUUCCAGAAAGGAUAUGAGAUGACUUACAAAAAUACACAUAAUAAGAUUAAAACUUUAAACAAGUAAGUGAGGAAACCAAAGCAAAAGGAAAGUGAGAAAGUGAGAGCAGGAAAGAUAAAAUGGAGCCAAGAGUGAGAUCUGUCACCAAAAUGUAUUGAGAACAGGCUCUGCGGUUGCUAACGGUGGUGGUGGAGUGGCCUCUUGGCUUCCUCACAGCAAGACAGUGAAUCAGUAACGAGUGAUGAGCCCAUGGUGACCCUGAUUUUUUUUCCUAAAAGGAGAACACAAACAAGCAGCUGCUCAGGUCAAGGCUAAGCAUACCAUGUGCUGAGAUCAGCGGAGUUUCUAGUGGACACGUGAUGCCUUCCAUAAAAUCCCCAGUAACGCCCCUAGGAUGUACCACAGUGGCUUCACAGGGCCAUUUACUACCGGGUUGUUAAGCAGAGGUGGCCAGUUGAUUUUUGAUAAAUAUCUGAAGGCAGUUCAGUAGAGAUAGGACAGUCUUUGAACAAAUGGUGUUGAAACAAUUAGAUAUUUACAUGCAAAUGAUGAACUUUGAUCAUCAUAUAAAAACUAACUCAAAUAGAUCACAUUUUCAUUUUAAUUUAAUAGCUUUAUUGAAGUAUAAUAAAUGGCAUAUUGCUCAUACUUACGUGUGCAGUUACAUAACUUUGACACACACACACACACACACACCCCCAGGAAAAAUGGAACAGCUGCUGAGGGAAGGCAGACUAUCACCAUCAGUCAAGAUUCAGUUGCAGAGAACAAAGUCUACUCUAACAGAAAAAUCCACUCUAGUUUACACAGAAAAACAUAUUUCAAGGUAUUAAAAUGACGUAUGGGAUCAUUACAAGGGCAAACAAUAUAGGCUGUAUACUGAGCUUCUAGGAACAGCUCUCAGUCUCAUGACCAUAGUUGCCACAGUCAGCAAGCUGCCUCUGAGUAAACUAGGAAGCCACCCAAACUUCCGCUGGCCUCAGAGCUCUGCCUCUUCUUCUGGGCUCCUCAUUAGUGAAUAGAUGGCAUGUGUCCUGCCUCUCCUCACAUCAGUUCCAAAUUCAAGUCUUGCAUCUAAUUGUAGAAACCUAACUGACAUCUCGAAAUUUAGCUUCAAGAAAGUCUGGGAAAUGCAGUUUUUAGUUUUCUAGCUUCUGCAGUAUGGGAAGGCACUUUAGAAGGAGCUUGGGAUAGACAUUGAACAAGCAAAUCCACAAUAUCCAUCAUGCUGUGAAAGCAGUUGGUUUGAGGGGGAAAAUAAGGAGUUCAGUUUUGUACAUGAUAACUUUAAAGUAUCUUUUAGAUAUACUAGUAGAGAUGUAUAGUAGGAAGUGGAAGAAAAUGCAGUAUGAUGUAGUGGUACAAGCACAGAUUCUGGGUUUGGGUUCAGUCUGGGUCUUGAACCCAGUCUGCUUGGAUUCAUAUCAUACCUCUAUCAUUUAUUGAGCUUCCCUCAUGUAAAGAAUCCACCUGCAAUGCAGGAGACCCCGGUUAGGCUCCUGAGUUGGGAAGAUUCCCUGGUGGUUUAGACGGUAAAGAAUUUGCCUGCAACA